CAGCAGCCGCGGUAAUACGAGGGGUGCAAGCGUUAAUCGGAAUUACUGGGCGUAAAGCGUGCGUAGGCGGUGAGUUAAGUCUGCUGUGAAAUCCCCGGGCUCAACCUGGGAAUGGCAGUGGAUACUGGCUCGCUAGAGUGUGUCAGAGGAUGGUGGAAUUCCCGGUGUAGCGGUGAAAUGCGUAGAGAUCGGGAGGAACAUCAGUGGCGAAGGCGGCCAUCUGGGACAACACUGACGCUGAGGCACGAAAGCGUGGGGAGCAAACAGGAUUAGAUACCCCCGUAGUCCCUGUCUCUUAUAA
rnacentral:rRNA from 1 species